UAAGCGAGCUACUUCAAAACAGCCUAAAGAGCCAACCCGUCUCUGUAGCAAUAGAGUGGGAAGAUUUUCAAGUAGAAGUGAUAAGCCUAACGAGCUUAGAGAUAGCUGGUUAUUCAGGAAAAGAAUAUUAGUUCUACCUUAAAUCCCCCAAUGAUAUUAAACAAACCCCAAGAUUUAAGAGCUAUUCAACUAAGGCACAGCUUAUUUGAAAUAGGACACAACCUAUACAAUAGGGUAAAAAACAUAAUUAUAAUAUUAAGUGGGCCUAAGAGCAGCCACCUUUAAAAAAGCGUUAAAGCUUAUUAUUUAUAUUCAGUAAAUACCAUAAAUUAAUAUGAACCCUUACCCCGUACUGAAUAAUUCCAUAUUAAUAUGGAAAAUAUCCUGCUGGAACCAGUAACAAGAAUUUGAUAUUCUCCAAAAUGUAAGCAUAAACCAAAAUGGACACUCCACUGGUAAUUAACGAAAAUGAACAAACUAUAGUAACCCAACAAGAAAAACCUAUAAAUCUUCUCGUUAACCUAACACUAGAACAUUUCUGGAAAGAUUAAAAGAGAAAGAAGGAACUCGGCAAAUUUUAACCCCGCCUGUUUACCAAAAACAUCGCCUCUUGACUAAUUAUAAGAGGUCCAGCCUGCCCAGUGAUAUAUUCAACGGCCGCGGUACCCUGACCGUGCGAAGGUAGCAUAAUCACUUGUUCUUUACAUAGGGACUAGUAUCAAC
rnacentral:rRNA from 1 species